CAGAAUGGACCACGGUGAAAAAGUACAUCCUUGCACUGGGGCCAGCAGGUACCAUGCUCUCAGGCAUAUGAUGACAGCCUUUCUUGGAAAAUAUUGAUUG